rnacentral:guide_RNA from 1 species
AUAAACUAUACAAUCAGAGGGCUAAUAAGAGAUCAUGAUUUAAU